rnacentral:rRNA from 1 species
CGUCGCUAUACUACCGAUUGAAUUAUUUAGUGACGUCUUCGGACCGAUCUCGCACGCGGCCUAUCAGUCAUGCUUGUUUAAUAGAAAGAUGACCAAACUUGAUAAUUUAAAGGAACUAGAAGUCGUA